AGAGUUUGAUCCUGGCUCAGGAUGAACGCUGACAGAAUGCUUAACACAUGCAAGUCUUUGGCGAAGCUGUGCUUGCACAGCCUAGCCAAGGCGGACGGGUGAGUAACGCGUAAGGAACUUGCCCUGCAGUCAGGGAUAACAGACGGAAACGACUGAUAAGACCUGGUAAAGUCAGGCGGACUCAUGUCCAGCCUGAUGAAAAGGAAUGCUGCAGGAGAGCCUUGCGUCCUAUUAGCUUGUUGGUGGGGUAACGGCCCACCAAGGCGAUGAUAGGUAGCCGGCCUGAGAGGGUGGACGGCCACAAGGGGACUGAGAUACGGCCCUUACUCCUACGGGAGGCAGCAGUGGGGAAUAUUGGACAAUGGGGGCAACCCUGAUCCAGCAAUUCUGUGUGCACGAAGAAGGUUUUCGGAUCGUAAAGUGCUUUCAGCAGGGAGGAAGGAAGUGACUGUACCUGCAGAAGAAGCGACGGCUAAAUACGUGCCAGCAGCCGCGGUAAUACGUAUGUCGCGAGCGUUAUCCGGAAUUAUUGGGCAUAAAGGGCAUCUAGGCGGCCGGGUAAGUCCGGGGUGAAAACUGCUGGCUCAACCAGCAGCCUGCCUUGGAAACUACCCGGCUGGAGUGCUGGAGAGGUGGACGGAACUGCACGAGUAGAGGUGAAAUUCGUAGAUAUGUGCAGGAAUGCCGAUGAUGAAGAUAGUUCACUGGACGGUAACUGACGCUGAAGUGCGAAAGCUAGGGGAGCAAACAGGAUUAGAUACCCUGGUAGUCCUAGCUGUAAACGAUGAUUACUGGGUGUGGGCAUGAAGAGUGUCCGUGCCGAAGCUAAUGCGAUAAGUAAUCCGCCUGGGGAGUACGGCCGCAAGGCUGAAACUCAAAGGAAUUGACGGGGACCCG
rnacentral:rRNA from 1 species